UACGGAGGGAGCUAGCGUUGUUCGGAAUUACUGGGCGUAAAGCGCGCGUAGGCGGCUUUGUAAGUUAGAGGUGAAAGCCCGGGGCUCAACCCCGGAACUGCCUUUAAGACUGCAUCGCUUGAAUCCAGGAGAGGUGAGUGGAAUUCCGAGUGUAGAGGUGAAAUUCGUAGAUAUUCGGGAAAGAAACACCAGUGGGCGAA
rnacentral:rRNA from 1 species